rnacentral:lncRNA from 1 species
AUGGAUGGAAUGGAUACAACUACGGGUCAGCUUAGUCAAAUCUUCUUGAGCCGAAAAUUAGGUUUCUCUACCCUAAACGCAGUGAUAUGCUCCGAUUUCAUGGUUUCCUUCAACAACUCACUAGAAUUCUCUCACAUAUUAUUCUUAGCUAAAUUAAUUCACGAAAUGACUAGAUUGACUUUUUUUCUUUGAUUUUCAAUGUACGUUAA